AAGUCGUAACAAGGUUUCCGUAGGUGAACCUGCGGAAGGAUCAUUAACCCCUGUGAACCUUCAAUGUGCUCGUACACUUUGUCAAAGCGAGGCAAUCCCUGGUAAAUCAUCGCCGAACAGUUUUGAUUCUGGGACUUCCUCAAAGAGUGUGCAUGUUGCGCGAGGCAAGUGGCCUGGCAUUCCCAAGCAGUUAAUGUCUGAAAGUGUCAUUAGCUGUGUAAGGAUGACGCAGUAAGGAGGCCGACACGGCCGACGACCGGCGCAAGCCCCUUUAUCACCACUUAAUGCAUGACAGACGCGCCAGCGCUUAAUUGUGCGGCGACCAAAAACCGAACAACUGUUAACAAUGGAUAUCUGGUUCUC
rnacentral:misc_RNA from 1 species